rnacentral:rRNA from 1 species
UACGUAGGGUGCGAGCGUUAAUCGGAAUUACUGGGCGUAAAGUGUGCGCAGGUGGCUGAGCAAGUCGAGUGUGAAAUCCCCGGGCUUAACUUGGGAAUUGCGCUCGAAACUACUUGGCUCGAGUGUGGCAGAGGAAGGUGGAAUUCCAGGUGUAGCGGUGAAAUGCGUAGAGAUCUGGAGGAACACCGAUGGCGAAGGCAGCCUUCUGGGCCAACACUGACGCUCAUGCCCGAAAGCGUGGGGAGCAAACAGG